rnacentral:tRNA from 1 species
UCCCAGCUGGCACAGUGGUAAAGAAUCUGCCCACAGUGCAGGAGACCUGGGUUCAAUCCCUGGGUUGGGAA